GGAAAGUGUGUCUGUGGCUCAUCUUAGCGAUCUGCCCACUGCCAGCAGCACUGGCCCAGGACUGGCAGAUAGUGAUGCUGAACCAAGACCAAUACAAGUCCAGCAACAGCUAAACAGUUCUCAAAAUGAAACAUCUGGUUUGCUGCUACCACUACUGUUGCCAAACUCAGAGAACCCAGCAAAGAUAUCACUGUACUCAUUCUGUCUAGUUUUCUGUUAACCUGACACAAGCUGAAGUCAUCUGGGAGGAGGGAAUGUGAAUUUUAAAAUGCUCCCAUAAGAUGGGGCUACAGAUCCUGAUCCCGCUGCUUUGGCUUUCACUUACUGACAUGGGAACCCAUUGUGGUCAUCUGCAAGAGGAACGGACAGACACAUGGAAGAACCUGACUGUCCUAAAAGCAGCAGACCAGAGUUAGCUAUUACAAGGAGAGCUCCACUUAAAUUUGAGCUAGUCGACAGGAUCGUGGCAUGUUCUAAUGUGUUAGGGGUUGGGGCAGUGGAGACUUUGGUGCCUACAAGCCAAAAAUCUUUGUUGAAUCUGGUUUCUAUUUGGGUUAUCUUAUCCCUGGGAGGAAGAGAUGGUGGCCUAUAUAGCCUUGUCACCACAGUAAACAUAGUGGGAAAAAUGAACCACGAACAAGAAGAAAAGAACAGCAAAGUCUGCAGGCAUGAUGAGAACCUGACCCCUCCAGUUGAAUUCACUUCCUGUGCCAUUGUUGGACACUGGAAAACAAUUUCCAAUCAUUUGCCAGAGGCUGCAGAACAAUUUUCCCCCAUCAGGAAACAGUUUGAGCUUGGCUUAUUGUACAGAAAAGGCAAAGCCGUACCAGACUUGCAGCUGUCAGGGACAGAAAGGGUCCCUUUUGCCGUCCAAAGGUUAAGGCAAUAGGUUCUAAGGCACUGAUUGAAGUUUAUUGAUUUUCAAUUGAUGAAGAACUGACAACACCAGGUGGUAAAAUUGCAUCGUUCAACUCUGAGAAUAUUGUCUCUUAUCCUAGAUUCAUUCUUGAGGUUGACACGUCGGUUUCUGGUAAUCAUUUGUUACAUUUUUCAAUCUGGACACUAAAUUGGUAUGUAGCAACAAUAUGAGGGUGAUUACAGGAGUCGGAAGGACCUUAAGUCUUGGAAGCCUGGAUGCUGUUAGGAAUCAGGUUCUUCUUACUACUGAAUUAGCAUUAGUUCCGCUCAAGAGGAAAGUGCGUAGCAAAGAGCUGGAUUCAAUUCAAUUAAAAGAAUGUGAAUGUGGUUUUUCUGUGAGUCAAGGCACAGUGCAGAAGGUUGCAGAAAUGAGGGCCUCUUUCUCUCUCCCCCUCCCAUUUCUUCCCAUUUAAAUACCUCUUCAUUAAUUCUGUAAAAUCCACAAGAGAAUUCUCUGCUCCCAGGGGUCCAGCCUUUCUCACUUCAGUUGAAAACAGCACUUCCCAACAGAUGAUUAAGUUUUAUUUCCCCUUGCUGCUGGGGGUGGAGGUGAAGAAGGAAGAGGCAUUCCUCUGAGCUGGUUUCUCCAGUUGCUUCUUCCAUAUUCAUGAGCCAACCUUUUCCCAUUUCUCCUCAAAAUGUUCUGUAGCAGAACAUUCAUUAAAAUGUACCUUACCAAAGAAAAUGAAA